UCCCAGUCUUGGGCAAAGAAUCUCCUUGUAUAUAAAUUUGCGGGAAUGCAGAAGCUCUGAUGAAACAGCAGAUUCAGUGCUGGCAGCUUGCCAGUGAGUGAAUGUAUGCUCUUUAGUAUCAAGAAGAAAAGACAAAUGAUUCACAGUUUUGCAGAACAUUUCCUGGAUGCGUGUGUGUUACAGAAGAAUAAAUCCCCAACUACAGCCCAGACAACCCAUGUUUAGCCAGUGUAUCACAUGAUGGAACAGCCAGGCAGAGGAGGUUGGAAAUGAAAAGCAACACCUUCGCACACAUCCUGGGGAGAAGCAGCGGCAGUUCUGGUUGGUCAAACAUGGUCAGGACAGUGGACAUACCUCAAAACUGUCCAGAGGUUUGCAGAAGGCCUAGAUUUUUUUCUUCACAUUUUUGGUCUGUCCUUCGUGAAAUAAGUGGUUUUCUAGCAAAUCACUGAGGAAGUCACUAAAUUAUGACAUACAUUUGCAUUUCACACAUCAUAUUCUUCAAAAUAUGAGUACCAAUAAAAAAUCUGUUCUUCUAGCAA